UGAGGGAAUAUUGGGGUCAAUGGGGCGAGAGCCUGAACCAGCCAAGUAGCGUGCAGGACGACGGCCCUAUGGGUUGUAAACUGCUUUUAUAAGGGAAUAAAGUGGGUCUCGUGAGACUUUUUGCAUGUACCUUAUGAAUAAGGACCGGCAAACUCCGUGCCAGCAGCCGCGGUAAUACGGAGGGUGCGAGCGUUAAUCGGAAUGACUGGGCGUAAAGGGCACGCAGGUGGCGAGAUAAGUUGGAUGUGAAAUUCCCGUGCUUAACAUGGGGACUGCAUCCAAAACUGUUGAACUGGAGUACUGUAGAGGGAGGUAGAAUUCCACGUGUAGCGGUGAAAUGCGUAGAGAUGUGGAAGAAUACCAGAGGCGAAGGCGGCCUCCUGGACAGAUACUGACGCUGAGGUGCGAAAGCGUGGGUAGCAAACAGGAUUAGAUACCCUGGUAGU
rnacentral:rRNA from 1 species